ACUCCUACGGGAGGCAGCAGUGGGGAAUAUUGCACAAUGGGGGAAACCCUGAUGCAGCCAUGCCGCGUGUGUGAAGAAGGCCUUCGGGUUGUAAAGCACUUUCAGUAGGGAGGAAGGUAGUGUAGUUAACACCUGCACUAUUUGACGUUACCUACAGAAGAAGCACCGGCUAACUCCGUGCCAGCAGCCGCGGUAAUACGGAGGGUGCGAGCGUUAAUCGGAAUUACUGGGCGUAAAGCGCAUGCAGGCGGCCUGUUAAGUCAGAUGUGAAAGCCCGGGGCUUAACCUCGGAAUUGCAUUUGAAACUGGCAGGCUAGAGUCUUGUAGAGGGGGGUAGAAUUUCUGGUGUAGCGGUGAAAUGCGUAGAGAUCUGAAGGAAUACCAGUGGCGAAGGCGGCCCCCUGGACAAAGACUGACGCUCAGAUGCGAAAGCGUGGGGAGCAAAACAGGAUUAGAUA
rnacentral:rRNA from 1 species